rnacentral:rRNA from 1 species
AGAGUUUGAUCAUGGCUCAGGACGAACGCUGGCGGCGCGCCUAACACAUGCAAGUCGAACGAGCGAGAGAGAGCUUGCUUUCUCGAGCGAGUGGCGAACGGGUGAGUAACGCGUGAGGAACCUGCCUCAAAGAGGGGGACAACAGUUGGAAACGACUGCUAAUACCGCAUAAGCCCACGGGUCGGCAUCGACCAGAGGGAAAAGGAGCAAUCCGCUUUGAGAUGGCCUCGCGUCCGAUUAGCUGGUUGGUGAGGUAACGGCCCACCAAGGCGACGAUCGGUAGCCGGACUGAGAGGUUGAACGGCCACAUUGGGACUGAGACACGGCCCAGACUCCUACGGGAGGCAGCAGCGGGGAAUAUUGCACAAUGGGGGAAACCCUGAUGCAGCGACGCCGCGUGGAGGAAGAAGGUCUUCGGAUUGUAAACUCCUGUUGUUGGGGAAGAUGAUGACGGUACCCAACAAGGAAGUGACGGCUAACUACGUGCCAGCAGCCGCGGUAAAACGUAGGUCACAAGCGUUGUCCGGAAUUACUGGGUGUAAAGGGAGCGCAGGCGGGAAGACAAGUUGGAAGUGAAAUCCAUGGGCUCAACCCAUGAACUGCUUUCAAAACUGUUUUUCUUGAGUAGUGCAGAGGUAGGCGGAAUUCCCGGUGUAGCGGUGGAAUGCGUAGAUAUCGGGAGGAACACCAGUGGCGAAGGCGGCCUACUGGGCACCAACUGACGCUGAGGCUCGAAAGUGUGGGUAGCAAACAGGAUUAGAUACCCUGGUAGUCCACACCGUAAACGAUGAUUACUAGGUGUUGGAGGAUUGACCCCUUCAGUGCCGCAGUUAACACAAUAAGUAAUCCACCUGGGGAGUACGACCGCAAGGUUGAAACUCAAAGGAAUUGACGGGGGCCCGCACAAGCAGUGGAGUAUGUGGUUUAAUUCGACGCAACGCGAAGAACCUUACCAAGUCUUGACAUCCGUUGACCGACAUAGAAAUAUGUUUUUCCUUCGGGACAGCGAGACAGGUGGUGCAUGGUUGUCGUCAGCUCGUGUCGUGAGAUGUUGGGUUAAGUCCCGCAACGAGCGCAACCCUUAUGGUCAGUUACUACGCAAGAGGACUCUGGCCAGACUGCCGUUGACAAAACGGAGGAAGGUGGGGAUGACGUCAAAUCAUCAUGCCCUUUAUGACUUGGGCUACACACGUACUACAAUGGCGUUAAACAAAGAGAAGCAAGACCGCGAGGUGGAGCAAAACUCAGAAACAACGUCCCAGUUCGGACUGCAGGCUGCAACUCGCCUGCACGAAGUCGGAAUUGCUAGUAAUCGUGGAUCAGCAUGCCACGGUGAAUACGUUCCCGGGCCUUGUACACACCGCCCGUCACACCAUGAGAGCCGGGGGGACCCGAAGUCGGU